rnacentral:rRNA from 1 species
CCUACGGGGGGCAGCAGUGGGGAAUUUUUCGCAAUGGGGGAAACCCUGACGAAGCAACGCCGCGUGGAGGAUGAAGGCCUUCGGGUCGUAAACUCCUGUCGACCGGGAAGAAUGCACCCGACCUAAUACGUCGAAGUGUUGACUGUACCGGUGGAGGAAGCCACGGCUAACUCUGUGCCAGCAGCCGCGGUAAUACAGAGGUGGCAAGCGUUGUUCGGAAUUACUGGGCGUAAAGGGCGCGUAGGCGGCCCGCCAAGUCCCGUGUGAAAGCCCCCGGCUC